rnacentral:tmRNA from 1 species
GGGGGCGUACUGGAUUCGACGGGGAUAGUAGAAGCGCGAGAAGCGAGCCGCGGAUUUCGGGGCCGCGUCAACAACCUGAAGCUUAAACACAAACGCUAAUAACGAUAAUAAUUUAGCACUCGCAGCUUAAACGCUGUGACGUUCGCCCUGUAGUUCCCGCGCUAUAGGUGCCGGGCGACGAUAAGGCGGGGAACCAGCCUGCUUAAGCUUUGCAGCAGGUGGGAUUGAUGAAGCUACUGAAGCCCGGAUCCUGUCAGUGGGAGCCGGGUGGAGGGAAUGUCAAAAUGCUGACUGCGCUCGGAGAUGCUUUCGCCGAUAUAUCUUCGGACAGGGGUUCAACUCCCCUCGCCUCCACCA